rnacentral:rRNA from 1 species
CGCGCGAUACAGGGUGACAGCCCCGUACACAAAAGCGCAUGUGCUGUGAGCUCGAUGAGUAGGGCGGGACACGUGGUAUCCUGUCUGAAUAUGGGGGGACCAUCCUCCAAGGCUAAAUACUCCUGACUGACCGAUAGUGAACCAGUACCGUGAGGGAAAGGCGAAAAGAACCCCGGCGAGGGGAGUGAAAAAGAACCUGAAACCGUGUACGUACAAGCAGUGGGAGCCCCACCACCAAAGCAUUCUCUGGUGUUGAAGGCCCUGCAAAGCAGCAUCGCGGUGGCGGAGCGUCGUUUGCGACGCCCAACACACAAAACAAGCGGUGAGUGCUUUGGGGUGGGGUGACUGCGUACCUUUUGUAUAAUGGGUCAGCGACUUAUAUUCUGUAGCAAGGUUAACCGAAUAGGGGAGCCGGAGGGAAACCGAGUCUUAAUUGGGCGUUAAGUUGCAGGGUAUAGACCCGAAACCCGGUGAUCUAGCCAUGGGCAGGUUGAAGGUUGGGUAACACUAACUGGAGGACCGAACCGACUAAUGUUGAAAAAUUAGCGGAUGACCUGUGGCUGGGGGUGAAAGGCCAAUCAAACCGGGAGAUAGCUGGUUCUCCCCGAAAGCUAUUUAGGUAGCGCCUCGUGAAUUCAUCUCCGGGGGUAGAGCACUGUUUCGGCUAGGGGGCCAUCCCGGCUUACCAACCCGAUGCAAACUGCGAAUACCGGAGAAUGUUAUCACGGGAGACACACGGCGGGUGCUAACGUCCGUCGUGAAGAGGGAAACAACCCAGACCGCCAGCUAAGGUCCCAAAGUCAUGGUUAAGUGGGAAACGAUGUGGGAAGGCCCAGACAGCCAGGAUGUUGGCUUAGAAGCAGCCAUCAUUUAAAGAAAGCGUAAUAGCUCACUGGUCGAGUCGGCCUGCGCGGAAGAUGUAACGGGGCUAAACCAUGCACCGAAGCUGCGGCAGCGACACUGUGUGUUGUUGGGUAGGGGAGCGUUCUGUAAGCCUGUGAAGGUGGCCUGUGAGGGUUGCUGGAGGUAUCAGAAGUGCGAAUGCUGACAUAAGUAACGAUAAAGCGGGUGAAAAGCCCGCUCGCCGGAAGACCAAGGGUUCCUGUCCAACGUUAAUCGGGGCAGGGUGAGUCGACCCCUAAGGCGAGGCCGAAAGGCGUAGUCGAUGGGAAACGGGUUAAUAUUCCCGUACUUGGUGUUACUGCGAAGGGGGGACGGAGAAGGCUAUGUUGGCCGGGCGACGGUUGUCCCGGUUUAAGCGUGUAGGUGUGUGUUCCAGGUAAAUCCGGUUCACUUUAACACUGAGGCGUGACGACGAGGCACUACGGUGCUGAAGCAACAAAUGCCCUGCUUCCAGGAAAAGCCUCUAAGCAUCAGGUAACAUCAAAUCGUACCCCAAACCGACACAGGUGGUCAGGUAGAGAAUACCAAGGCGCUUGAGAGAACUCGGGUGAAGGAACUAGGCAAAAUGGUGCCGUAACUUCGGGAGAAGGCACGCUGACACGUAGGUGAAGUGAUUUACUCACGGAGCUGAAGUCAGUCGAAGAUACCAGCUGGCUGCAACUGUUUAUUAAAAACACAGCACUGUGCAAACACGAAAGUGGACGUAUACGGUGUGACGCCUGCCCGGUGCCGGAAGGUUAAUUGAUGGGGUCAGCGCAAGCGAAGCUCCUGAUCGAAGCCCCGGUAAACGGCGGCCGUAACUAUAACGGUCCUAAGGUAGCGAAAUUCCUUGUCGGGUAAGUUCCGACCUGCACGAAUGGCGUAAUGAUGGCCAGGCUGUCUCCACCCGAGACUCAGUGAAAUUGAACUCGCUGUGAAGAUGCAGUGUACCCGCGGCAAGACGGAAAGACCCCGUGAACCUUUACUAUAGCUUGACACUGAACAUUGAGCCUUGAUGUGUAGGAUAGGUGGGAGGCUUUGAAGUGUGGACGCCAGUCUGCAUGGAGCCGACCUUGAAAUACCACCCUUUAAUGUUUGAUGUUCUAACGUGGACCCGUAAUCCGGGUUGCGGACAGUGUCUGGUGGGUAGUUUGACUGGGGCGGUCUCCUCCUAAAGAGUAACGGAGGAGCACGAAGGUUGGCUAAUCCUGGUCGGACAUCAGGAGGUUAGUGCAAUGGCAUAAGCCAGCUUGACUGCGAGCGUGACGGCGCGAGCAGGUGCGAAAGCAGGUCAUAGUGAUCCGGUGGUUCUGAAUGGAAGGGCCAUCGCUCAACGGAUAAAAGGUACUCCGGGGAUAACAGGCUGAUACCGCCCAAGAGUUCAUAUCGACGGCGGUGUUUGGCACCUCGAUGUCGGCUCAUCACAUCCUGGGGCUGAAGUAGGUCCCAAGGGUAUGGCUGUUCGCCAUUUAAAGUGGUACGCGAGCUGGGUUUAGAACGUCGUGAGACAGUUCGGUCCCUAUCUGCCGUGGGCGCUGGAGAACUGAGGGGGGCUGCUCCUAGUACGAGAGGACCGGAGUGGACGCAUCACUGGUGUUCGGGUUGUCAUGCCAAUGGCACUGCCCGGUAGCUAAAUGCGGAAGAGAUAAGUGCUGAAAGCAUCUAAGCACGAAACUUGCCCCGA